UCGGACACUCGCUCCAGCAAG
rnacentral:misc_RNA from 1 species